rnacentral:rRNA from 1 species
AGCUCAUGAUUGGGCUUAAAGCGUGCGCAGGCGGUUUUGUAAGACAGGCGUGAAAUCCCCGGGCUUAACCUGGGAAUUGCGCUUGUGACUGCAAGGCUGGAGUGCGGCAGAGGGGGAUGGAAUUCCGCGUGUAGCAGUGAAAUGCGUAGAUAUGCGGAGGAACACCGAUGGCGAAGGCAAUCCCCUGGGCCUGCACUGACGCUCAUGCACGAAAGCGUGGGGAGCAAACAGGAUUAGAUACCCUGGUAGUCCACGCCCUAAACGAUGUCAACUGGUUGUUGGGUCUCUUCUGACUCAGUAACGAAGCUAACGCGUGAAGUUGACCGCCUGGGGAGUACGGCCGCAAGGUUGAAACUUAAAAAAUUAGACGG